UCAAACUCCACAUUUUCAUCAUCCCUCUCUUAUUUCUCAUCAUCAUUUUAAAUUUUGUUCUCAUUAAAAAAAUAAGUUUUUGAAAAAAUGGAUCGUUUCGUUUUGCGGCUCAAUGCCACUCCCACUCAGUCAACCUCCACCCCCGCUACUUCUUCCGGAAUGGACACACCUCCUCCAUCGCCUGCAGAACAACCCCUUAUAAAGAAGACAAAGACUGACGAGGGGAUAAUAGUGCCCCAACUAAAGAGAGCCACCGCAGUGGAUUGGGAGACAAGGUUGACCUUGAAUGAGGACCGUGAGCUCGGCUUCAUCAACUCUCAGGAAGAGUUUGAAAAUUUGUAUGCUCCUCCCACCCCCUCGUCGUCCAGUACUGUCCCCACGCCGAGCAGAAAGACAGAGUAACACUGUUUAAUCCCACAGAUCAUGAUGUCGCUCCUCACGACCCUCCACAACAAUACGACUUCCGAACCAGUCGAGCAGAUCCAUCUUAUCAACUGUGACAUCAAUACCAAUGCAGGGAACUUGGAGGAGGUGAAGAAAGCGCUCGAGUUGAACGACAUGGGGUUUGAAAUAGGGGAUGACAACAUUUCUCUCUCGUUCGCACUUUCUCCUCAUAUUCCCACCUCGUUCAACAACAAACUACCCUAUGUCUAUGUUGGAGAUAACAAGGAGGGAGGUUAUCGAUUCGGAGAAGACCAUUCAGAGAAACGUGAGUUUACUAUGAAAGGAUCUAAAACGCACUCUACGGCAAAAUUCACCACCAUGAAAGGGAUCGACUCCAAAAACAUCCACAACGUGUUCCAGGCUGACCCCACCACCUUCACAUCAAAACAAAGUUUGCAAAAGAUGAAGGAGGUGGAGACUUUAGGCCAUAAGGGGGUGCUAGUAGCUCAAAUGUUGGGAAUGAAGACUGUUGAUGGUCAUAAUGUUUAUAACUUGGCUGAAAAGUUUACUCAUUUCGACCAUGGCUGGGAAGAUGGUAUUUUUAGCGAUCUGAUUGCAAUGAUGACGGGGAAGGGGAUUGUUGUAAAGAAAGAAAAGCUCAAAGCUGUUCCUACUGAGGUUAAAUUUAUGGUUCCAAUUUAUAAGAAUAUGGGUGUUGGAGAGAAAGCGAGACAAGUAUUGGAUGUUGAUAAGAUGAAGAAGGUUAGUGUUCAGAAGAAAGUUUAUGAGAAAGUUGUUAUUUCUUGAAUUUAAAAGUUAUGUGUUAAACAAACUGUUCGAUGUUGAUUGUUACCGGUUUUUUUGUUAAUGAACUAUUUCUAUAAAAAUAAAAUUUGAAUUCAUAGAAAAUAAACGAGAAAACGAGAAAACAUACCACGGGGGCAGCGAAACAACAGGCAACUCCGACGGCACACGCAGCUGCCCACCUGCCAACAUUUCGUUACUUCGAGACUCGUUUUCAUAGAUCCCUUGGAAGGACUGAAGUUUACUGAGAAGGGUCGCCACCAUAGAGCCGAUAUGAACAAAUGGUCCCUGAGAGAAAUCAUAGCGUCAGUUGUAGACAACUUCCAAAUUAAACUCUACGUGCUACAAAACAACCUCUUUUCCUAGGGGCAUCCCUGAAAAAUUAAACAGUUUUUGAAAACAUUUUUAAAGGCAUGAAGGGAAUCCAGGUAAAAAUUUACAUACCACUCCCUAACGAUGCAGUUAAUCCCACAACUUUUGCAAAUAAAGUCCGAAACGUUAAAUACUGAGAACAAUCAAUUAGUUAAGUUUUGAUAUUAUAAAUAUUUUUCUACAAAUUCAUUAUUUAAAACGUUAAUGAACCUCUUUUAAUGUAACUCCGCGUAAAAUAGUCUUCAUUUCGGGAAUUCCACUCCCUGGUUAUUUGCAAUUAUAUUAUUAUUUGCAACAUUGAUUGAAAUAAUUAUUAAAUAUUUAUGUGUAAAUAAUCACCGAUAGCUUGGGGUGCUAUUAUAUGGACCUAUAACACAUUCACAACUUAUUACAUUUCGAUGUAAAUUGUUUAGCAUGAAACACAACAAACUUCAAAUCAUCAAGGCGUAACCCAAAACAUCAGACACGCCAGGAAAAGUGUUUCAAAGCCACGCUCAAGGGUGUUUGCAUCUGCAGAUGGAACCCUGGCGCUCUGCCGCUGGUCACUUGUGCGCAGAGACUUGCGGAAUAUUUACCAAACGUUGCCAUUUUAUAGAAAUUAGAAAAUCGAAAGUAGAUACUUUAAAAUGUCGACGUCUUCUACUUAGCUCUAAUUCUGACCUUGAUUUUAACCUGAUAUUAUAAUAUUUUUAGCAAAGUACAUAUUUUUCCGCUUUAUAUUAGUUAACUUGAUUUGCGAUUUGAAAUUUGAUUUGAGUACAUGAAUUAAUAAAUCAAUUAAUUACCAA